GAGCAAUGAAAUUGAAUGCUUGUAUAGAUAAUUCUACUCUCUGGAUCAAAGUUACCUCUAGGUUGAAUCCUAGUUCCCCUCCAAUACAAUUAUGAUGACUCGAUCAAGAGUGAACCAUGGUGAAACCCAAUCCCAUACAACAACACCCUGAAGUGCCCAGGGGAGGCACAUCACUACACAGUAGUAGAAAUUAACUCUUAAUCUCGUGUAUCGAGUGAUCGCGAUGCAACCACUUGAGGAUAAAGACCUAACAAAACUAAAGAGAAGAACAUAAUACACAUUUAAUUUGAAUGUUUCGGCUAAGUCAUCUCACGAAACAAGAAUGCGAGGAUUGGUGAGGUAGGCUCUUGGGUUGAAGGGAGAUGGGUUUGGAAACUAGAGUGGAGGAGGGAAUGGUUUAAUUGAGAAGAAUCAAUUUUGCAAAGGUUUAUGGAGGAACUCAACAAUAUGGGGUGGGAGCAAA
rnacentral:lncRNA from 1 species